UACGAAGGGGGCUAGCGUUGCUCGGAAUCACUGGGCGUAAAGCGCACGUAGGCGGCUUUCUAAGUCAGGGGUGAAAUCCUGGAGCUCAACUCCAGAACUGCCUUUGAUACUGGAAAGCUUGAGUUCGGGAGAGGUGAGUGGAACUGCGAGUGUAGAGGUGAAAUUCGUAGAUAUUCGCAAGAACACCAGUGGCGAAGGCGGCUCACUGGCCCGAUACUGACGCUGAGGUGCGAAAGCCAGGGGAGCAAACGGG
rnacentral:rRNA from 1 species